CCUGUUUUUUUUUUUUUAACCCAAAUGAUCAGUUGAGCCUUUUAGGUCAUUUUCUUCAAUGUCAGACAUAACAACCCUAGUGGUUUGAGCUUUUUGCAUCCAGUUCUCAGCGCCAACGAAUAGGUGCCUUUCUUCAGUAAAACGGCUUGUUUCAGACUCAGAGGCGUUAGAUGUAUGAUAUGUGAGCAUUGAAUAUUUCAGUGGCUGUCUGCCUGGCCCGUGCUGACCUGCCUGACAUGUGACGUUGUGCUCUCGUUGGAAAUGCCCCGUCACCUCACAUCAGCCAGCUGGCUGGAAGAAGCAGCUGACCCUCUUCUCCUCUCCAUUUUUCUCUCAUCCUCUCCUUUCUGCUUUCCCGACUAAACCCAACAUAAGGAUCAGAGAAGGAAGAUGUGAAAAAAAAAAUACUGCAAGAUCAUGUUAUCUGGUGGAGUGGUGAUGGUGGAAACCCCGCAAUGGACUUCCCAACUGCCAGGAAGAGAUAGGCUCUAGCAUCCCCAUGACCCUUAAUAGA